rnacentral:lncRNA from 1 species
UCUGCUUAGGAAGACACGGCCUGAUCCCAGGGCCUUCUUGGGUCACCGAGGAGGGAGUCUGUCCCUUUAGAGAUUGGAGGGAGCAGCUCCAACAGGGACAGAGUAAAGAGUUGGGGGGACAGUGAACAUAUGGGGGGGGGACCCGACAGCAGGCUGACUAGCAGUCAGAGCCUGCUGUUUACAUGUGAAUUCCGGGGUGGAUGUGUGACGAGAGUUGGCACAAGAGAAAGAAGGGGGGUGGUUCCUUGCACGGGCAUCCGCCUGCCAAGCUGGAGAAAUAAUGCAGGAGCCAGGGCAGCUGCCCAGCAUGUCCAAUAGCCACCCGAGUCCACCAGACACUGGAGACCCCUGGUCUGGGGGUCGAGGCCUUGCUCCCAGGGUGAUGACAUGGUCUCAGCUGCCUUGGAAGGACUUCCUGGUCCAGCCCUUCAGGCAGGUCCACCCGAAGUUGCUGGCCCUUCUGUUCCCGCGAGUGUGUGGAGGACUGAAGGGCAGCGCUGGACGUGGGGUGAUCCUUGUGUCUGGGGACUCACCUGGUUUUCAUCUGAGCCUCUCCAGAGGUGCUGCGGUUUCCCAGGAGAGCUGGCCUUUUACUUCAAAGCCCUGUCUGGACUCGGGAAACUCAACUCCUGCAAUACAGGUGCCAGUGGGAAACGCCCCGCUGGUCUGGGGACAGACGUCCAGCUCUGACACAGCUGCACGCCCCACCACGGCUGGACACAUUCCUCAAUGAACAGCUCGAACCUGAUCCCAGUGAGAGGGAGGUGGACUCACCGGGGCCGGAGCGGUCUCCCUUCAGAGAGGCACAGCCAGGUCCUCGGCUCAGCGCUACUCAAAGUUAUGCCCACGGACUGAGCCAUGGACCGUUUGUUGCUGGACCGCAACUCGAGGAGGACGAAAGCUGGGAGGAGGCAGUGAGAGGCUGGUACACCAGCCAGACACCGCAGGGCAUCUGCGUGCCAGCCCGGGAGCUGUCCCACUGAGCGGCGUUUGUCCAGGUGGCAAAUAGGGCAAACACGUGGUGAGCUGUACGUGGGGGCCGUGGGACCAACUACUGAGUGGACACUGAAAAUCUGCUGCGUCCCCACGGGCAGUGUGAGAAGCAGUGCUCCAGCCCAUGCAGCUCUCCGAGAGGUCCCACCAUAAAGAACACGUUUACUGCGUUACACCCAGUGUCUCCCAAACUCAUUCAACUACGAACCCCUUUUGGGGUGAGAAGGGGCUGCUACCAGCACCCAGAGGAUCCACCAUUCCACACAACACGCUUUGGAGAAGAGACUCCAGAUGGUGAGAAUGAGCGAGUGGAUGCCCCUUGGUCCAGAAUCUCCCAACUCUGUCCAGGGCACGGGUCCCGCAUGGCUCAUGAGUCAGGGCCUCGGGUAACCCCUCCGUGGGGUUAACUGGAGUUAUUUAAUGGCUGGUGUCUUGGUGUCUUGGAAGACCUUUAUUCCUGCUAUCCGGGGGCCAACUUUCAUCCGAGGUGGGGCUGUAGGCACCACCAGCCCAUUAUCUCAAGCCUCUGGUUUUAAUUAAAUUACAACAUGGUGCAUGCCAGACAGCAGCACAAGGCCCCUAAGUUGGUCAGUGAGGGAGAGGAGUCGACUCCUUCGUGCCCCAAGCCCGGAGCUGGGCCGGGUCCCUGGAUCUGGGAGCCGGGAACUUGUCAUCCCCCUCGGUCCUCUGUACGUUGUAAACACAGACUUGUGCGUUCUCGUCUUAAGCUUUGCUAGUCGUGUCUGCUUCUUUGCGCACUGGGACGUACAGACUUCAUUUUUCUUGCGUUGUACUAAGUAGUAUGUUUCACGACCGGUUCUCUGCCCUGUUCUACAGCGUUGCCCGCUUCUGUGGUGUCAGUACUCCCACCACAGCCAGUCCGAGCUGCCAUUAUGACCUCAUUGACUGCAGAGUUGUAAGU